rnacentral:rRNA from 1 species
CCUACGGGUGGCAGCAGUGGGGGAUAUUGCACAAUGGGGGAAACCCUGAUGCAGCGACGCCGCGUGGGUGAAGAAGCGCCUCGGCGCGUAAAGCCCUGUCAGCAGGGAAGAAAAUGACGGUACCUGAAGACGAAGCCCCGGCUAACUACGUGCCAGCAGCCGCGGUAAUACGUAGGGGGCAAGCGUUAUCCGGAUUUACUGGGUGUAAAGGGUGUGUAGGUGGUUUGAUAAGUUAGAUGUGUAAUACCCAGGGCUUAACUCGGGUGCUGCAUCUAAAACUGUUAGACUUGAGUACUGGAGAGGAUAGUGGAAUUCCUAGUGUAGCGGUGGAAUGCGUAGAUAUUAGGAGGAACAUCAGUGGCGAAGGCGACUAUCUGGACAGCAACUGACACUGAGGCACGAAAGCGUGGGGAGCAAACAGGAUUAGAUACCCUUGUAGUC